CCAGACUCCUACGGGAGGCAGCAGUGGGGAAUAUUGCACAAUGGGGGAAACCCUGAUGCAGCGACGCCGCGUGAGUGAAGAAGUAUUUCGGUAUGUAAAGCUCUAUCAGCAGGGAAGAUAAUGACGGUACCUGACUAAGAAGCCCCGGCUAACUACGUGCCAGCAGCCGCGGUAAUACGUAGGGGGCAAGCGUUAUCCGGAAUUACUGGGUGUAAAGGGAGCGUAGACGGCUGUGCAAGUCUGGAGUGAAAGGCGGGGGCCCAACCCCCGGACUGCUCUGGAAACUGUAUGGCUGGAGUGCAGGAGAGGUAAGCGGAAUUCCUAGUGUAGCGGUGAAAUGCGUAGAUAUUAGGAGGAACACCAGUGGCGAAGGCGGCUUACUGGACUGUAACUGACGUUGAGGCUCGAAAGCGUGGGGAGCAACCAGGAUUAGAUACCCCCGUAGA
rnacentral:rRNA from 1 species